rnacentral:rRNA from 1 species
UGGGGAAUAUUGCACAAUGGAGGGAACUCUGAUGCAGCGACGCCGCGUUAACGAAGAAGGCUUUCGAGUCGUAAAGUUCUUUUAUAUGGGAAGAUAAUGACGGUACCAUAAGAAAAAGCCCCGGCUAACUACGUGCCAGCAGCCGCGGUAAUACGUAGGGGGCUAGCGUUGUCCGGAAUCACUGGGCGUAAAGGGUUCGCAGGCGGAAAUGCAAGUCAGGUGUAAAAGGCAGUAGCUUAACUACUGUAAGCAUUUGAAACUGCAUAUCUUGAGAAGAGUAGAGGUAAGUGGAAUUUUUAGUGUGGCGGUGAAAUGCGUAGAUAUUAAAAAGAAUACCGGUGGCGAAGGCGACUUACUGGGCUCAUUCUGACGCUGAGGAACGAAAGCGUGGGUAGCAAACAGG